GGCAGCCAGAGAGGCCUCCACUGUUCUCUGCAGCAGAAGACCCCUUGCUGCCAGGGUAUUGCCUAUUUUAUGCCAGACUGCCAGCCAAGAUGAUCUGGUGGUGCUUUCUGAUCACGGGUUUAUUAUGCCAAGUUAAAAGUCCAGUUUAGUCCAUCUUAUGUGACCAAGCAUUCAACAGCCAAAACAAACACGUAGUACAACAGCGCUGGGUCAGAUGAUGCCAGACAUCAGCAAAACAGAACAAACAUGACAUUUGCAAAGAACAUUCUCUCUGUUCUGCUUCUGUAUGAUUCUCCAUUUUCCAUGUUUCUCUAUAAAACUUAAGAUGACGAUCUUACGUAAAACUUUCACAGCUUUGUUAUUUAGAGUGCUACAAUCUAGUGCC